rnacentral:rRNA from 1 species
UACGAACUGCCCAAACGUUGUUCGGAAUCACUGGGCUUAAAGGGCGCGUAGGCGGCAGAUCAAGUCAGGGGUGAAAUCCGGCAGCUCAACUGUCGAAGUGCCUUUGAUACUGAUUUGCUCGAGGGAGAUAGGGGUCUGCGGAACUUCUGGUGGAGCGGUGAAAUGCGUUGAUAUCAGAAGGAACGCCGGUGGCGAAAGCGGCGGACUGGAUCUCUUCUGACGCUGAGGCGCGAAAGCUAGGGGAGCAAACGGG